rnacentral:tRNA from 1 species
AUUUAAGUAAUUUAAAAAAAAUAUUGAUUUGUGGAGUCAAAUAUAUGAUAAGAUCAUCUUAAAUU